UACAGAGGUCCCAAGCGUUGUUCGGAUUCACUGGGCGUAAAGGGUGCGUAGGCGGUCGGGUAAGUCUGAUGUGAAAUCUCACAGCUUAACUGUGAAACUGCAUUGGAUACUAUCCGGCUCGAGGAAUGGAGGGGAGACUGGAAUACUUGGUGUAGCAGUGAAAUGCGCAGAUAUCAGGAGGAACACCGGUGGCGAAGGCGGUGGGCUGGGCCGGCACUGACGCUGAGGAGCGAAAGCGUGGGGAGCGAACAGG
rnacentral:rRNA from 1 species